rnacentral:rRNA from 1 species
GACGAACGCUGGCGGCGCGCUUAACACAUGCAAGUCGAACGGAAAGGCCUGCUUUCCCUUGUGGAUUGCGGGUACUCGAGUGGCGAACGGGUGAGUAACACGUGAGUGAUCUGCCCCCAACUUGGGUAUAAGCCUGGGAAACUGGGUCUAAUUCCCGAUAGGACUGCAGGGUGGUGCCUGUGGUGGAAAACGAUUUUCUAGUGGUUGGGGAUGAGCUCGCGGCCUAUCAGCUUGUUGGUGGGGUAAUGGCCUACCAAGGCGGCGACGGGUAGCCGGCCUGAGGGGGUGGACGGCCACAUUGGGACUGAGAUACGGCCCAGACUCCUACGGGAGGCAUCAGUGGGGAAUAUUGCACAAUGGGCGGAAGCCUGAUGCAGCGACGCCGCGUGGGGGAUGACGGCCUUCGGGUUGUAAACUCCUUUCGACCGCGAGGAAGCCACCUGGUUGGAAGGGUGGUGACGGUAGUGGUAGAAGAAGCACCGGCUAACUACGUG